AGUGCGAGUCUAUCGCGAUUUAGUGCGGUCUUAACAUUAAAAAUGGCCACCCAACGUUAAAAGUGUAAAAAUUCUCAAGACACACAUAAAACAAACAAACAAGGCAAAACAAAAGACAAUCCAAACAAAAAUCCGAGACUUUCAGAAGAACAACAACCCAGCAUUAGAUGUAAUUAAGAGAGGGAAACCGAAUAAAUAAAUACUGAUUGAUGUCCACCAAAUGUGGCACACACUCUAGAUGUUUCCUGUUUGUUUGAUCAAGCCAAUCCAGACUUCUGAUUGUGCCGAGACCAGCUUCUUUCGAUGGGGGUCCUGCAUUCACUCAAGCUGAACUAUAACACGGAUGAUGAUGAUCUGUAUCACAUAUAGCAAGGGUGGUGUUGGGGGUGAAGGAGGUCAUGUCAUUCCUGUGGUCCAGCUGAGGGCAUUUUGUGCCCUUUUCCUCCUCUGCCUCUUCCACCUUACUCCUGCUACAUUCUUACUGAAUUCUUCAACUGGAAUUUGAACCUGUACACCAUCUGACUCUAAAUUGCCAAGCCCUGUAGGGCUACAUUGAAGUAGGUAGCCUUGCUGGGUUCUGUGUAGAUCUACAUUUCAGGGACUGUUAGACUUGGUUUAAAUCUACACAGGAAAGGAGUUGACUUCACAUGCAUACGUAAAUGUGUGUAUAUAUAUAUAUAUAAGCAUAUAGUCAGAAGAGUAUAUACACAGACAUUCCAACACAACAGUAUAACACACAGCUAUGCAUUGCUUCCACCCAUGCAUAUGCAGACGGCUAUAUUCAAACCUCUACACAUAUCCAUUAUAUACUAAGCUAUCACAACUGCACACCUAAAUGCAUACUGCACUUGUGUUAUGGAGCAUAUACUGGAUAGUAACAGUUUAAUAGCAGUAACAACAACAACAGCAAUAACUGCAGCAGUAGCAAUAGCAGCAACAACAACCACUGGCGCUACCACCACCACCACUACAGCUCUUCCUGGCUAUGAACUAACAGAAGGUGUUGUACAGACUGUGACCAACGAGCUGCAACUAAACAGCACCAAGGCGCUUGGCCGAACGACGUGCAACAUCUGCGGAAAAGCAUUCAGUCGCUAUGACAACUUGGAACGGCACAAACUGACCCACCAAGCCGUCAAACCAUUCAGCUGCGACCUCUGCAGCAAAUCCUUUUCUCGUAAGACACACCUCAACCGGCACCAAGCGAUCCACACAGGUGAGAAACCGUUCAAGUGUAGCGUGUGUGGGUUCGGCUUUUCCCAAUACGUGAACCUCGUGCGGCAUAUGCGCACACACGACAACACAGCCAUGUCCACUAUCGUAUACGAAGGCGCGGUGCCACCGACCUCCGACCGACCUUACAAGUGCACCCUCUGCCAGCGUGCAUACAUACGCAACUCAGACUUCCUGCGGCAUGUGAAGAGCCACGGAGAGGCCGCCGGUCAGAACGUAGUGAUGGCCAAGGUGCCAGUAACGGUCAUGAUGACCCCGCAGCAAGCACCGCAGCCACAGCAACAGCAACUGCAGCUGACGCAGACAACAACAUCCCUCCCUCAGACGCCAACUGCCUUCCAGCAUGAGAACCCUUUCAAAUGCAACCUGUGUGGUGCCGUUUUCGCUGCAAACGGUGACCUCACCAAACACAUGAGGCAGCACCGCAAUGAGCUUGGACGCAGCGACGACACUAAGUCCUACCCCAUCACGAAUGGCUAUGUGCACCAAGUGCAACAACUGCCCCAGGAGAACUACUACGAUAGCAGUCGGCCAUAUAUUUGCAACGUGUGCGGCCGGACUUUCUCUCGGAACGGUGACCUCACCAGACACAUGCGCUCGCAUCCGGAGAGCGCAUACGACUGCAAAGAGUGUCUGAAGGCACUAACUGAGCGGCAGGAUGCAAGUGCACAAGGAAAAGUGCAGUCUGCUCCAUUGUACAAGUGCAACGUGUGCGGAAAGACGUUCUCAAACAACAGCUACUUUGAGCGUCACCAGAAGCAGCACUCGCAGGAGAAACCGUUCAGCUGCGACGUGUGUGGAAAGGCUUUUCUGCAGAAGUAUCACAUGAUGGUCCACAAGCGGACGCACACUGGGGAACGGCCCUUCCCGUGUCAGCUGUGUGGGUUUGCAUUCACACGGAAGGACCACCUGGUGCGACACCAACGGCUCAACAAAAACGGAGGAAAGCUGAGCUGCGUGCCACAGAAUGCACUGAUUAACAACCUGCAGCAGCAGCAACAACAGCAGCAAGGGCAGUUUCAGACUGCACAGCAACUGCAGGAACAACAACAACAACAGCAGCUUCAUGAACAACAACAACAACAACAACUUCAUGAGCAACAGCAACCUCAAGAACAACAACACUUACAGCAACAACAACUGCAGGAACAACAGCAGCAGCUGCAGGAACAGCAGCAACAACUGCAGGAACAACAACAGCAGCAGCUGCAAGAACAGCAGCAACAACAACAGCAGCAGCUGCAAGAACAGCAGCAACUGCAGGAGCAGCAGCUGCAGGAACAACAACAGCAACAACUGCAGGAACAGCUGCAAGAGCAGCAAUUGCAAGAGCUGCAAGACCAACAGCAGCAGCUGCAAGAACACCAGCUGCAGGUGCAUCAGCAACAGCAACAGCUGGUGGUCAGUGUUGUAGAACCAAACGGUGCAGGUGUUGUCGCACAGGCACAAGGUGUCGCCACCGCAAUGCCUCACUACAUCAACAUUUGACCUUCCUUACCAAACUUGACCUCUUUAUCAAACUUGACCUCUUGAUCCUGCUGAAUAACCUCCAACUCCCUCACUCCUAAUUUAACUCUUUCUUGCCUGUCCUCUCUAUUAUUUCUUGUCUUGUCUUAAUCUAUCGCAACCUCCCUGACCGUUUGACCCCCAUCCUCCUCCCCCCCCAUCCCAUGCCUUAACCUCUCCUAAACUAUUUUGGUACAUCUUAACCUAAUCUCACUUGUACUGAUAUAAUUCCUUUUGACCUCUUAUCACUUGUCAUAGACUUCUUGGAUCUGACCUCCGUUGACCCAUCUGGUCAGUUUCUUUGGACCCUAUGUCUCCCUAAUGUCACUUCCUCUAACCAGACACCCCUCUCCAUCUCUCAAAUGUCUCUUCUCUUACCCUGAUCUCACCUCUAUACUCCCGCCCCACCUGACCUCUCCAAAAGACUUUGAGGUCAGCAACAUCGAACCAGUGACCUUUGUAUUAGCCCAUGGUUUGCUGUCAGUACUAAUGAUGAGGUGGGAAGAGGUUUCUCUCCACUGUCUGGUGUCUGUGGGAAUUUUGGACAUACUCACGCACACAGAUACGCAUGCGUGCGCACUGAGGCGUUCUUGUCUAAUAUUCUGAAGUG
rnacentral:misc_RNA from 1 species